AUACCCCUGUAGUCCUAGCAGUAAACACUGCUCACUAAACAUCAGUACCUCCUCGAGAGGUAUUGGUGCUGUAGGGAAGCCGAAGAGUGAGCUACCUGGGAAGUAUAGUCGCAAGACCGAAACUUAAAGGAAUUGGCGGGGAGGCACUACAACGGNNGACGCGUGCGGUUCAAUUAGACUCUACACCGUGAAUCUCACCAGGAGCGACAGCAGAAUGAAGGUCAGUCUAAAGGGCUUACCUGACACGCUGAGAGGAGUUGCAUGGCCGACAUAAGCCUGUGUCGUGAGAUGACUUGUUAAAUCAAGUAACAGGCGAGACCCCUGUGUUUAAUUUCUACGAUAAGAGCACAUUAAACAGACUGCCUUGGUAACAAGGAGGAGGGUGGGGGCGAUGUUAGGUGGGUACAGCCCGAAACCCCUGGGCAACACGCGCGCGGCAAUGCCAGAUUCAAUGAGAUGCAACUCUGAAAGGAGAAGCUAAUCUCAUAAAAUCUCGCUUAGUUCAGAUUGAAGUUUGUAACCCAACUUCAUGACGCUGGAAUCCGUAGUAAUCG
rnacentral:rRNA from 1 species